GGGUGAGUAACGCGUGGGUAACCUGCCUUACACAGGGGGAUAGCAGUUGGAAACGACUGGUAAUACCGCAUACCUUACAUUAUUCGCAUGUUUGAUGUAAGAAAGAUUUUAUCGGUGUAAGAUGGACCCGCGUCUGAUUAGCUAGUUGGUGUGGUAACGGCAUACCAAGGCGACGAUCAGUAGCCGGCCUGAGAGGGUGAACGGCCACAUUGGGACUGAGAUACGGCCCAGACUCCUACGGGAGGCAGCAGUGGGGAAUAUUGCACAAUGGAGGCAACUCUGAUGCAGCGACGCCGCGUGAGUGAAGAAGUAUUUCGGUAUGUAAAGCUCUAUCAGUAGGGAAGAUAAUGACGGUACCUACAGAAGAAGCCCCGGCUAAAUACGUGCCAGCAGCCGCGGUAAUACGUAUGGGGCAAGCGUUAUCCGGAUUUACUGGGUGUAAAGGGAGUGUAGGCGGCAGUACAAGUCAGGAGUGAAAACUUGGGGCUCAACCCCAAGACUGCUUUUGAAACUGUACAGCUAGAGUGUAGGAAGGGCAAGCGGAAUUCCUGGUGUAGCGGUGAAGUGCGUAGAUAUCAGGAAGAACACCGGUGGCGAAGGCGGCUUGCUGGACUAUAACUGACGCUGAGACUCGAAAGCGUGGGGAGCGAACAGGAUUAGAUACCCUGGUAGUCCACGCUGUAAACGAUGAAUACUAGGUGUUGGG
rnacentral:rRNA from 1 species